CGCAGCGAGGAAGUCAGCAGCAAUCAGGAUUAAGCAGUUUGGCACCAGGGGCACGGAGAAAGUUUUCUCCACAGCAUUACAGUGCUUCCAAAGGGCACAAGGUCACCUAGAACCAGGAAGCUCUCUUCCACUGAACACAAGGGAUGGCAGUAAUGCUGAUCACAGGGGAUCCAGGCAAGGGGUCAUCUAUGUGGCCCACCGUGGAGGGCGGUUGUGGCAGUACCAGGUCAAGAACGAUUCAGCUGUUGGUGCCCCUCGACAAACACACAUGGGGCAAUGGAUUCUCUCUCUCCAGUAGGGCUGCUAGGCAACAGGCCAUUUGGAGAUGUCUGGGAACCCAGCAGGGUUGGAGGGAGGCAGACAAGCAAAUUGCUGGUGCCUCCUUGUGGCGGAUGUUCAGUGCAGGUACUCCAUAGGGAGGGCGGCUAGUGACCAGAUAAAUGGCCUGGUAAGGGACUUAACAGGAGGUACUGGAUAAAGAAACAGAAUGGGGGAGGGGGUUCGGGGACUCCAUUGAUUGGUACGGCAGGGAGCCAACCCACCCACCCCAUUCUCAUAGCCUUCCUUAACCCUCUUAUGAAGCUGGUGGAUGGUAAGGUCCAAGCCAUGGGUCGGCUGGGGGACCUGGAUGGAAACAAAGGGGGACUGGUGGAAGCCCCAGAGAAUUGAUUUGAAUAAGCAUGGAUU